UACGUAGGGGGCAAGCGUUGUCCGGAAUCAUUGGGCGUAAAGAGCGUGUAGGCGGCCCGGUAAGUCCGCUGUAAAAGUCAAAGGCUUAACCUUUGAAUGUCAGUGGAUACUGCCGGGCUAGAGUCCGGAAGAGGCGAGUGGAACUCCUGGUGUAGCGGUGGAAUGCGCAGAUAUCAGGAAGAACACCAAUUGCGAAGGCAGCUCGCUGGGACGUUACUGACGCUGAGACGCGAAAGCGUGGGGAGCAAACAGG
rnacentral:rRNA from 1 species